GAAAUUGAGAAUUAACGGGAGUGUAGUCUGUAAUCUCGUUACAUAACGCGUCACUGAAUGCGUUGUCCGUUCAUUCGCGUUUAUUCGUUAUCCCGCCACCUGACACACCGUGACGCGGUUUCCACCACAACGCCAGGGAAAAGAAAAGAGAGACAGCUGGGUCAACACAGAGCACCAUACUCUCCCUCUUUUCUGAAGAAUAUUUCCAAAGAGACAUCCACGAGCCUCUGAAGACAUGGAGGCGCCGGGUUUGGCACACGGGAUCGCGAGCCCUCUGAGCCCGCGCAAGGGCAUGAUAAAGAACGUGAGCCUGGAGUCUCUCCAGUUGUGCGAGAGAGACGGUAAGCCAGAGGACAGUGGUGUGGUAAGAAUGGAGGAGUUACCAGUUCCUCGCAAUAUCAAGAUCAGUAACAUCACCUGUGACUCCUUUAAGAUUUGUUGGGACCUGGACCCUCACACCACAGAGAAGAUCACACAUUACUUCAUUGACCUUAACAAAAAGGAGAACAAGAACUCAAACAAAUUCAAACACAAGGACGUGCCUACUAAGCUUGUUGCUAAGGCGGUCCCGUUGCCCAUGACAGUGCGAGGACAUUGGUUCCUGAGUCCACGGACAGAGUACACAGUUGCCGUGCAAACAGCAUCCAAGCAGAGCGAUGGAGACUAUGCCAUAUCAGAAUGGAGUGAUAUUGUCGAGUUCUGUACAGCAGAUUAUUCAUCAGUGCAUUUGACGCAGCUGUUGCAGAAGGCUGAUGUGAUUGCUGGCAGGAUGCUCAAGUUCUCUGUCUUUUAUCGAAAUCAGCACGAGGAGUACUUUCAACACUGCAGAGAUGUACUUAGAGGACAAAUGAUGCCUUCGGUAAAGGACAACAGUGGUAGUCAUGGCUCCCCUCUGAGUGGUAAACUGGAGGGGAUUGUCUUCAGUUGUAACACUGAGUUUAACACAGGUGUGAUAUGCAACAUGGAGAGGAUAAUUUUCAGCUUCUUGCUCAUAGUGACUGGGAGAUUGCUUACUGUGCUGGCCCAUCAUUCUGACACUCAGCUGGGUAGUUCUGUCACUCUUCCCUGCCAGGACAGUAACUACAGAGACAUACCAGCAGAUCUUCUGGACAUCCACUGGUGGACUGGAGAACAUCUAGUCAUGCGAUUUCAGUUUGGCAGAAUCAUUCAGGGCAGCAGAUAUACUAACAGACCAGAUCUGUCUACAGACGGCCUCAGAAAUUGAGAUUUCUCUCUCUCAAUCACUCACAUAGAGUACAGUGACAGCGGCCGAUACCGAUGUGUGUUGACUAGAAAGGGACAGGAAAUUGUUCUUGGAGAGCUUGAAUUUGAGGUUAAAGUCCCCAGAUUUCCAGGUGCUCUGUUUGUUGAAUUUGGGCAGAGAGUCAUUUUGUCUUGUUUCGUCCAUGUUGAUUGGUCAGGCUCGGAAGCCGCAUUGUGCAAUGAAAGAGAUGGACUUAGGUGGUGCUUCAGUGGAAAUCUGGAUCUCUGUUUGUGGAUCCAAUGUGUGAAGGCAGAGUGUCAGAUCACAAGGAGAGAAUCAUACAUGGUGACAUUUCUCUUAUUUUUACCAACACUCACCCAGAUGACCAGGGCUACUAUGUGUGCUUCUUCUAGAAAGAUGACAACAUCAGACCUUCAGCAAUCACUAAUCUCACUAUCACAAAGCACAUGUAAAGGAUUAAUGCAUCAUCUGGGUCACAGUUACACCUCUCUCUUCCCAGAACUAAGACAACCAUCUUUGUUGGACCUUUAAGUCUGCUAGCAGCUUCACCAGUCAUAGGUGUUCUACUACUACUUCUAGCAUCCUUUGGAUAUAUUCAUUAUAAAAAAUGGAUCCGAACAAUAUCCUUGGAUCAAAAAGAAAUGGAGAUGUAUCUCUGCAGCCUACAGAAGUCAUCACUAAUAAAGACUCUAGCAGUGUUAAUAAAAGUGCUGUCAUAUAACUAUUGAGGGCACACAUGUAUGUGUGUGUGU